CGUAGGAAAAGCACUCUUGGAGUUUUUCAAUUUUUUGUCACUCUAUCUCCAAAGGCUUUUUCAACACUUUCAGUGAACAAUUUGAUUCACAGUGAAUGACCAGAAACAUUGAGUAUACUUUAUGCUAUUUCUAUAAAGGUCUCUUGAGUUCUGAGAGAUGAUUCUUCAUAUCCUUGCCCUAUCAUUUCUGAGAAAUAGUAGGAUUAAGAUUCUAGAUUUAGGAAAGGAGGAGGUGGCUCCCUGUAUACCAUGCCAUAUGGCCUCCAGAAAUGAUAUGACUUAAAGAGGGCUCUACAAACAGGAACACAUCUCUGCAGGGUAUAGAAUUGGAAUUUGGGAAGUUGAUGUGUGCAAUAUUGAUAAGCUUAUGUUUUCUCUUUGGUAGGAAUUUCUAAGUUACUAUAAGACUCUGGGGAGCCUUAGCUUACCGGGGACCCCCUGAGUGAACCAUGUGGAGCUGGGAUAGAGGCAAAAAGCAAGAGGAAUUAUAUUGUUCCAGUGCACUGGGUUCAUCCCAGACCUGAAGGAGAGGCAGUGACCACCAGCACCAUUUGGGCUAAAUACUGCAGAGAACGCUGUAAAGAGAGCAACGGUGGAGGCAGUAGCUGACCUAAGUAAGCACGGAGGCUGUUAGUGCUUUGAUCCUCUGAUCUGGUGAGCUCUUUGAUGGAUGCAGUCCACUGUGGUGAGGGUCAAACUUUGUUUCCCAGUUGCUGCUGCAGCAGGGCUUUGCCCAGCAGCCACACAGGGGUAAGAUCCAACUGAAGCUGGAGCAGAGGAGGGAAGCCAGCAGGGAGCCAGCUUGCACAGAAGCCUUCACUGUGGGCUGGGAUGCUGUGACCCAGAAGGCCGCUAAGCAGAGCUCCCCUACAGAAGCCCAAGUGACUCCACAGGCAAGGAAAAGGCUCGGCAUCUGUGAGCUGCCUCCUGAGUUUUUCUAUCGCGCUAUAGGAACAGCUGUACCAGUCUUCAGCAGCGCUGUAAACCUGUCAUCAGCACCACAUUGUUUACAUAUGGCUACAAGGUCUUUAUGCCCAGGAUCCCUUAGCUCUACAGCGGGGGACAGAUAUUUACAUGACAGCUGUGUCAAUUGGAAGCAGCCUCUGUAAGCUUGUUUGCUUCACCAAAGCAACACUCACCGCCUACCACCCCUCCCCCACCACCCCUAAGACGCGAAUCUCUGUCUUCUCCCUUUUCUAAAUGAGCAUUGUGUUAAUAAUAGAACCGCACUGCAGAUGCUCAGAAUGGAAAUAGCUGGCAUUUCCCUAACAAGACUCAUAAUUCUGCUAGAAAUAAUGGAUUUCAAGUGAAAUAGCUCGCGUCCAAGAAGAGUGGUUAUAAUUCAUGGCCAGACAUCCAAAUGGAAUCAAAAUCCGGGAAACAUGCAAAGUGCUAAUUUUCUACAUCAUUGGAAUUUAUCAAGUCCAUACUGAUUAAUUCCAACAGUGAUUUGGUUGUUCAAUCGAUAGAGCUUUGUUUGUUUCCCAAAGACAUCUGAAUGACAUUGAUUUAAAUAUUCCAACUUCCUGCUUUUCUUAAAAAAAAAAAACUUUAAAAUUGUAAAUCAAACCCCGCUGCAUCAGUGGCUGAUGCUAACUAAAUAUUUUUAUUUUUUUUCUGUAUCAUUUGAGGCAAGACUCCUAUUUAUUUCAUCAAUGUGGUAAAUAGCAAUAUUUUGGAGAGGAACUAUUUAUUUUAAUGCAGAUCUCAACGAAGUGAGGAAAAAAUUCAUUUCUAUUGCUUUGGUGUAUUUACUACUAGUUUUCCUAAGAACAUACUUCAAUGUCAUAAUAACUAUUUACAAUUAGCAUGGUUGGAAAAUAAACCACUCCUAAAAUGCUCAGGAACAGUUCAACGCCCAUAAGAUUCUUGUUGUGGGUUGGACGUAUUUUCUAAACUUAAUGUGUUGGAAACUGGAUCACAAAUGUAGCUCCAGACUUCAGAGGAGGUGUUUAUAAAGGUCGUAAGAAACCCCCUCGUGAAUAAAUUAAUACUACACUU